GGUUAAGCGACUAAGCGUACACGGUGGAUGCCCUGGCAGUCAGAGGCGAUGAAGGACGUGCUAAUCUGCGAUAAGCGUCGGUAAGGUGAUAUGAACCGUUAUAACCGGCGAUUUCCGAAUGGGGAAACCCAGUGUGUUUCGACACACUAUCAUUAACUGAAUCCAUAGGUUAAUGAGGCGAACCGGGGGAACUGAAACAUCUAAGUACCCCGAGGAAAAGAAAUCAACCGAGAUUCCCCCAGUAGCGGCGAGCGAACGGGGAGCAGCCCAGAGCCUGAAUCAGUGUGUGUGUUAGUGGAAGCGUCUGGAAAGGCGCGCGAUACAGGGUGACAGCCCCGUACACAAAAAUGCACAUACUGUGAGCUCGAUGAGUAGGGCGGGACACGUGGUAUCCUGUCUGAAUAUGGGGGGACCAUCCUCCAAGGCUAAAUACUCCUGACUGACCGAUAGUGAACCAGUACCGUGAGGGAAAGGCGAAAAGAACCCCGGCGAGGGGAGUGAAAAAGAACCUGAAACCGUGUACGUACAAGCAGUGGGAGCACGCUUCGGCGUGUGACUGCGUACCUUUUGUAUAAUGGGUCAGCGACUUAUAUUCUGUAGCAAGGUUAACCGAAUAGGGGAGCCGAAGGGAAACCGAGUCUUAACUGGGCGUUAAGUUGCAGGGUAUAGACCCGAAACCCGGUGAUCUAGCCAUGGGCAGGUUGAAGGUUGGGUAACACUAACUGGAGGACCGAACCGACUAAUGUUGAAAAAUUAGCGGAUGACUUGUGGCUGGGGGUGAAAGGCCAAUCAAACCGGGAGAUAGCUGGUUCUCCCCGAAAGCUAUUUAGGUAGCGCCUCGUGAAUUCAUCUCCGGGGGUAGAGCACUGUUUCGGCAAGGGGGUCAUCCCGACUUACCAACCCGAUGCAAACUGCGAAUACCGGAGAAUGUUAUCACGGGAGACACACGGCGGGUGCUAACGUCCGUCGUGAAGAGGGAAACAACCCAGACCGCCAGCUAAGGUCCCAAAGUCAUGGUUAAGUGGGAAACGAUGUGGGAAGGCCCAGACAGCCAGGAUGUUGGCUUAGAAGCAGCCAUCAUUUAAAGAAAGCGUAAUAGCUCACUGGUCGAGUCGGCCUGCGCGGAAGAUGUAACGGGGCUAAACCAUGCACCGAAGCUGCGGCAGCGACGCUUAUGCGUUGUUGGGUAGGGGAGCGUUCUGUAAGCCUGCGAAGGUGUGCUGUGAGGCAUGCUGGAGGUAUCAGAAGUGCGAAUGCUGACAUAAGUAACGAUAAAGCGGGUGAAAAGCCCGCUCGCCGGAAGACCAAGGGUUCCUGUCCAACGUUAAUCGGGGCAGGGUGAGUCGACCCCUAAGGCGAGGCCGAAAGGCGUAGUCGAUGGGAAACAGGUUAAUAUUCCUGUACUUGGUGUUACUGCGAAGGGGGGACGGAGAAGGCUAUGUUGGCCGGGCGACGGUUGUCCCGGUUUAAGCGUGUAGGCUGGUUUUCCAGGCAAAUCCGGAAAAUCAAGGCUGAGGCGUGAUGACGAGGCACUACGGUGCUGAAGCAACAAAUGCCCUGCUUCCAGGAAAAGCCUCUAAGCAUCAGGUAACAUCAAAUCGUACCCCAAACCGACACAGGUGGUCAGGUAGAGAAUACCAAGGCGCUUGAGAGAACUCGGGUGAAGGAACUAGGCAAAAUGGUGCCGUAACUUCGGGAGAAGGCACGCUGAUAUGUAGGUGAAGCGACUUGCUCGUGGAGCUGAAAUCAGUCGAAGAUACCAGCUGGCUGCAACUGUUUAUUAAAAACACAGCACUGUGCAAACACGAAAGUGGACGUAUACGGUGUGACGCCUGCCCGGUGCCGGAAGGUUAAUUGAUGGGGUCAGCGCAAGCGAAGCUCUUGAUCGAAGCCCCGGUAAACGGCGGCCGUAACUAUAACGGUCCUAAGGUAGCGAAAUUCCUUGUCGGGUAAGUUCCGACCUGCACGAAUGGCGUAAUGAUGGCCAGGCUGUCUCCACCCGAGACUCAGUGAAAUUGAACUCGCUGUGAAGAUGCAGUGUACCCGCGGCAAGACGGAAAGACCCCGUGAACCUUUACUAUAGCUUGACACUGAACAUUGAGCCUUGAUGUGUAGGAUAGGUGGGAGGCUUUGAAGUGUGGACGCCAGUCUGCAUGGAGCCGACCUUGAAAUACCACCCUUUAAUGUUUGAUGUUCUAACGUUGACCCGUAAUCCGGGUUGCGGACAGUGUCUGGUGGGUAGUUUGACUGGGGCGGUCUCCUCCUAAAGAGUAACGGAGGAGCACGAAGGUUGGCUAAUCCUGGUCGGACAUCAGGAGGUUAGUGCAAUGGCAUAAGCCAGCUUGACUGCGAGCGUGACGGCGCGAGCAGGUGCGAAAGCAGGUCAUAGUGAUCCGGUGGUUCUGAAUGGAAGGGCCAUCGCUCAACGGAUAAAAGGUACUCCGGGGAUAACAGGCUGAUACCGCCCAAGAGUUCAUAUCGACGGCGGUGUUUGGCACCUCGAUGUCGGCUCAUCACAUCCUGGGGCUGAAGUAGGUCCCAAGGGUAUGGCUGUUCGCCAUUUAAAGUGGUACGCGAGCUGGGUUUAGAACGUCGUGAGACAGUUCGGUCCCUAUCUGCCGUGGGCGCUGGAGAACUGAGGGGGGCUGCUCCUAGUACGAGAGGACCGGAGUGGACGCAUCACUGGUGUUCGGGUUGUCAUGCCAAUGGCACUGCCCGGUAGCUAAAUGCGGAAGAGAUAAGUGCUGAAAGCAUCUAAGCACGAAACUUGCCCCGAGAUGAGUUCUCCCUGACCCUUUAAGGGUCCUGAAGGAACGUUGAAGACGACGACGUUGAUAGGCCGGGUGUGUAAGCGCAGCGAUGCGUUGAGCUAACCGGUACUAAUGAACCGUGAGGCUUAACCUU
rnacentral:rRNA from 1 species